AGAGUUUGAUCAUGGCUCAGGAUAAACGCUGGCGGCGUGCCUAACACAUGCAAGUCGAACGCGCACGGAGCGAUUCGUGUGAGUGGCGGACGGGUGAGGAACACGUGGGUUAUCUACCUUAAGGUGAGGAAUACCGGCGAGAAAUCGCCGACAAUACCGCAUACGUUUGGCCAACAAACAAAGUCCCGGCAACGGGACGCCUGAAGAUGAGCCUGCGCCCGAUUAGCCAGUUGGUGGGGUAAGAGCCUACCAAAGCGACGAUCGGUAGCUGGUCUGAGAGGACGGUCAGCCACACUGGGAUUGAGAACGGCCCAGACUCCUACGGGGGGCAGCAGUGAGGAAUUUUCGUCAAUGGGGGAAACCCUGAACGAGCAACGCCGCGUGCAGGAAGAAGGUUUUCGGAUCGUAAACUGCUUUUCUCGGGGAAGAGAAUGGACGGUACCCGAGGAAGAAGCCCCGGCUAACUACGUGCCAGCAGCCGCGGUAAUACGUAGGGGGCAAGCGUUGUCCGGAUUUAUUGGGCGUAAAGGGCGUGUAGGCGGUCUGCGACGUUGUGCGUGACAGGUAGUGGCUUAACUGCGACAGGGCGCAGAAAACGGGCAGACUUGAGACCUUCAGAGGGAUGCGGAAUUCCAGGUGGAGCGGUGAAAUGCGUAGAGAUCUGGAAGAACACCAAAGGCGAAGGCAGCAUCCUGGGGAGGAACUGACGCUGAGGCGCGAAAGCCAGGGGAGCGAACGGGAUUAGAUACCCCGGUAGUCCUGGCCGUAAACGAUGACCACCAGACGUGGGAGGUAUCGACCCCUUCCGUGUCGUCGCUAACGCAUUGAGUGGUCCGCCUGGGGAGUACGGUCGCAAGAUUAAAACUCAAAGGAAUUGACGGGGACCCGCACAAGCAGCGGAGCGUGUGGUUUAAUUCGAUGCAACGCG
rnacentral:rRNA from 1 species